ACCUGCAGCCAUAUCACCCUGCAGCUCACAACUGGCAGCCCACUGAAGCUCAGCAGGUGUGAGCCUGGUCAGUACCUGGAUGGGAGACUCCUGGGAAAGCUGAGGCUGCUGCUGGAA
rnacentral:rRNA from 1 species